CCCUACGGGAGGCAGCAGUGGGGAAUAUUGGGCAAUGGGCGAAAGCCUGACCCAGCAACGCCGCGUGAAGGAAGAAGGCUUUCGGGUUGUAAACUUCUUUUGACAGGGAAGAGCAGAAGACGGUACCUGUCGAAUAAGCCACGGCUAACUACGUGCCAGCAGCCGCGGUAAUACGUAGGUGGCAAGCGUUAUCCGGAUUUACUGGGUGUAAAGGGAGCGUAGACGGUUCUGCAAGCCAGAUGUGAAAGCCCGGGGCUCAACCCCGGGACUGCAUUUGGAACUGUAAGGCUAGAGUGUCGGAGAGG
rnacentral:rRNA from 1 species